rnacentral:rRNA from 1 species
GACGAACGCUGGCGGCGCGCUUAACACAUGCAAGUCGAGCGAUGAAAUUUUGACAGAUCCCUUCGGGGUGAAGACAAAAUGGAUUAGCGGCGGACGGGUGAGUAACACGUGAGUAACCUGCCUUAGACAUUGGGAUAGCCUCGGGAAACCGGGAUUAAUACCAAAUAAAAUCAUAGGUGCACAUGCACUAAUGAUCAAAACUCCGGUGGUCUAAGAUGGACUCGCGUCCCAUUAGCUAGUUGGUAGGGUA